CUGGGUUGGAACUACAUGUAAUUAGAAAAGACAAAGAAAAAUUCCGCUCCGUGCGCAAAAUUCCGCCUAGUGCAAAGCCGGCUUUAGGAACGCAGGAGAUGGGAAACUAUAAAGUCUAAUAUAGAGGCAUCUUGGCGUUGUUUAUAGACAUAAUGUUAUAACAUUUACCAAUUGAAAAGCGACUUUGCAUUAUUAAUAUAAUAAAUUAAUAAAUACCUCAUCAUCGCCAUCUUCAUAGCCUUCUGUGGCUGGCUCAUCUGUGUCUGGUUCAUAUGUCUUUUCCUCGAUUAGAUCUUUAACUUCACCAUAAUAUGGGAAUGAAAUACGUUGCGCAUUUGCGCAAAACACCACGCAAGCGAAAAGCGUUAUAACGGCGAGAGAUCUCAUGACUGGCUUCGAUAUAUUUGAUAAUUUUCUUUGAUAAAAUGUUCUCAUAGUCGCGUGUCGUGUUUCGUGGUACGCUGUACGAAAAAGACUCCAUUGUUGGCAUUGAGAUUACUCUAUUAUUCAGAUUAAAAAUUCCAUCUUUAAAUUCAGUAUUUGACUGACAAGAAUUGAGUUUUUAAUACAAUUAAAAUAUUACUGCAAAAUGUUUGCCGACUCUAUCACCCUUUCUGUUUCUCAAAU